CCCUGGUUGAUCCUGCCAGUAGUUAUAUGCUUGUCUCAAAGAUUAAGCCAUGCAUGUCUCAGUGCAAGCCGUAUUAAGGCGAUACCGCGAAUGGCUCAAUAUAUCAGUUUUGGUUCCUUAGAUCUUACUCAGUUACUUGGAUAACUGUGGUAAUUCUAGAGCUAAUACAUGCAAUCAGAACUCUGACCAGUGAUGGGAUGAGUGCUUUUAUUAGAUCAAAACCAAUCGACGGAGGGCCUCGCGUCCGAAGUCGUUAAUUUUGAUGAAUCUGGAUAACUUUUGCCGAUCGCAUGGUCCAGUACCGGCGACGCAUCUUUCAAAUGUCUGCCUUAUCAACUUUCGAUGGUAGUUUCUGCGACUACCAUGGUUGUCACGGGUAACGGGGAAUCAGGGUUCGAUUCCGGAGAGGGAGCCUGAGAAACGGCUACCACAUCCAAGGAAGCAGCAGGCGCGCAAAUUACCCACUCCCGGCACGGGGAGGUAGUGACGAAAAAUAACGAUACGGGACUCUUACGAGGCCUCGUAAUCGGAAUGAGUACACUUUAAAUAUUUUAACGAGGAACAAUUGGAGGGCAAGUCUGGUGCCAGCAGCCGCGGUAAUUCCAGCUCCAAUAGCGUAUACUAAAAUUGUUGCGGUUAAAAAGCUCGUAGUUGCAUUUGUGCGCCGCGCUGUCGGUGCACCGCAUCCGCGGUGAUACUGACACGUCUGCGGAGCAUAUCGUCGGUGAGCCGUCGGUUAAACGUCGGUUCAAUAUCAAAAUCCUAUCGCGGUGCUCUUCAAUGAGUGUCGAGGUGGGCCGACAAUUUUACUUUGAACAAAUUAGAGUGCUCAAAGCGGGCUCAAAAUGCUGCUUGAAUAUUUCGUGCAUGGAAUAAUAGAAUAUGAUCUCGGUUCUAUUUUGUUGGUUUCAGAACUCCGAGGUAAUGAUUAAUAGGGAUAACUGGGGGCAUUCGUAUUGCGACGUUAGAGGUGAAAUUCUUUGAUCGUCGCAAGACGAACAUCAGCGAAAGCAUUUGCCAAAGGUGUUUUCAUCAAUCAAGAACGAAAGUUUAACGCGCGCUGAUGACGGCUCAUCGGGAUGAUGCGAGUCUCGCACGAGACCCGUCCACCCCGUUGUCCGUUCAAAUAUAUCGCGUAUGCGAAUGUUAACGUUGAUCGUGUCAUCGCGUAUGAAUCAUUUGUAACGAACGAUCGCGUGCGUAGCCGCGCGUAUCGGACGUACAGAGGUAGCGACGCGCGCCCGACAGGCGCGCCCGCGACUCUACGGUGAACAAUUUCGAUUGAACAUUGGGGUUGCGUGGCGCGCGCUUGCUCGAGCGCCGUGUGCCGUCUUCUUGUCCGUUACGCAAUGCGGUUACGCGUCUAUAUACGCGAACGGUUCGCUUCGAUUGUACGAAUACGUAUUUUCAAGAUGCACACGUAUCGAUGUAAUAAUAAAAAGUAGGCGGACUCGACGUCCGAAGAGCGCAUCGACGCCGUCGUCGUACUGCUCCGGCUUCGGUUCGGGGUUUGUUCGGUUGCGACGUCGUAUCGCUGACGGAUAUCGCGUCUGCCUCAUUUUUUUAUCGUUGGCCUCAGAUCAGGGAGGAUCACCCGCCGAAUUUAAGCAUAUUAGUAAGCGGAGGAAAAGAAACUAACCAGGAUUUCCUUAGUAGCGGCGAGCGAACAGGAAAGAAGCCCAGCACUGAAUCCCGCCGUUGUUCAGGCGGCGGGAGAUGUGGUGUUCGGGAGGUUCCGCUUUCUCGUCGCGAUCUCUCCUGUCCAAGUUCGUCUUGAACGGGCCGUUUUCCCGUAGAGGGUGCCAGGCCCGUAGCGACGGAGGACCGCGGCGAGAGG
rnacentral:rRNA from 1 species